rnacentral:rRNA from 1 species
GGGUUGUGAGGUUAAGCGACUAAGCGUACACGGUGGAUGCCCUGGCAGUCAGAGGCGAUGAAGGGCGUGCUAAUCUGCGAUAAGCGCCGGUAAGGUGAUAUGAACCGUUAUAACCGGCGAUACCCGAAUGGGGAAACCCAGUGUGAUUCGUCACACUAUCAUUAACUGAAUCCAUAGGUUAAUGAGGCGAACCGGGGGAACUGAAACAUCUAAGUACCCCGAGGAAAAGAAAUCAACCGAGAUUCCCCCAGUAGCGGCGAGCGAACGGGGAGGAGCCCAGAGCCUGAAUCAGCAUGUGUGUUAGUGGAAGCGUCUGGAAAGGCGCGCGAUACAGGGUGACAGCCCCGUACACAAAAGCGCAUGUGCUGUGAGCUCGAUGAGUAGGGCGGGACACGUGGUAUCCUGUCUGAAUAUGGGGGGACCAUCCUCCAAGGCUAAAUACUCCUGACUGACCGAUAGUGAACCAGUACCGUGAGGGAAAGGCGAAAAGAACCCCGGCGAGGGGAGUGAAAAAGAACCUGAAACCGUGUACGUACAAGCAGUGGGAGCCCCACCACUAAGCCAGUGGUGAACUCCACAUCCGCAUCCUUUGCUGAGGAUACGGUUAACGGAGCGAAAGCGACGUUCAACCGCAAAACAAGCAGAGGGGGCUUAGUGGUGGGGUGACUGCGUACCUUUUGUAUAAUGGGUC